rnacentral:rRNA from 1 species
UACGGGGGGGGCAAGCGUUGUUCGGAAUUACUGGGCGUAAAGGGCGCGUAGGCGGUGCUCUAAGUCGGAUGUGAAAACUCUGGGCUCAACCCAGAGCCUGCAUCCGAAACUGGAGUGCUAGAGUUCUGGAGGGGGUAGCGGAAUUCCUGGUGUAGCGGUGAAAUGCGUAGAUAUCAGGAGGAACACCGGUGGCGAAGGCGGCUACCCGGACAGAAACUGACGCUGAGGCGCGAAAGCUAGGGGAGCAAACAGG